AUUGAACGCUGGCGGCAUGCUUUACACAUGCAAGUCGAACGGUAACAGGCCUUCGGGUGCUGCCGAGUGGCGAACGGGUGAGUAAUGCAUCGGAACGUACCCAGAGGUGGGGGAUAACGCAGCGAAAGCUGUGCUAAUACCGCAUGUGAUCUGAGGAUGAAAGCGGGGGACCGAGCAGCAAUGUUUGGCCUCGCGCCUUUGGAGCGGCCGAUGUCGGAUUGGCUAGUUGGUGGGGUAAAGGCCUACCAAGGCGACGAUCCGUAGCUGGUCUGAGAGGACGACCAGCAACACUGGAACUGGGACACGGCCCAGACUCCUACGGGAGGCAGCAGUGGGGAAUUUUGGACAAUGGGCGCAAGCCUGAUCCAGCAAUGCCGCGGGCGGGAGGAGGGCCUUCGGGUUGUAAACCGCUUUUGGCAGGAACGAAACGGUGUCCGCUAAUACCGGGCGCUAAUGACGGUACCUGCAGAAUAAGCACCGGCUAACUACGUG
rnacentral:rRNA from 1 species